rnacentral:rRNA from 1 species
GACGAACGCUGGCGGCGUGCUUAACACAUGCAAGUCGAACGGUAAGGCCCCAGCUUGCUGGGGUACACGAGUGGCGAACGGGUGAGUAACACGUGGGUGACCUGCCCCGCACUUCGGGAUAAGCCUGGGAAACUGGGUCUAAUACCGGAUAGGACCGCACCGUGAGGGGGUGGUGGAAAGUUCUGCGGUGGGGGAUGGGCCCGCGGCCUAUCAGCUUGUUGGUGGGGUAAUGGCCUACCAAGGCGGCGACGGGUAGCCGGCCUGAGAGGGUGGACGGCCACAUUGGGACUGAGACACGGCCCAGACUCCUACGGGAGGCAGCAGUGGGGAAUAUUGCACAAUGGGCGGAAGCCUGAUGCAGCGACGCCGCGUGGGGGAUGACGGCCUUCGGGUUGUAAACUCCUUUCACCAUCGACGAAGGGUUUCUGACGGUAGAUGGAGAAGAAGCACCGGCUAACUACGUG